UGUGGCUCAAUGGUAGAGCACUUGCCUUGCAUGCAUGAGGCCCUGGGUUCAAUUCCUCAGCA
rnacentral:tRNA from 1 species